rnacentral:lncRNA from 1 species
AACAAAGUAGGGUGAGGCCCACAGGUCAGGAGACAACCACCAUCAAAAAGAUGAUUUGUCACGGGUCCCAAGAGGACAGAGCUGGCCGCAUCACCACGGUGAAGGGGCACAGGGCAAGCACCAGGUAGGCCAGGAGGCAGAGGGUGCGAGGAACGUGGUGUGGGAAGGACCAGGCCAGGGGGUGGACAGGUGGAGAACUGGCUGGUUGCAUUAAUGCCAGCUGGUCUGGGUGUAGCUCCUGGCCCUGGGGUGAUUAGGGCAGGGGGACGUUGGCCCAGAGUGUGGCCCAGUUGGGGAGCGGUUGGGGUGUGGGCUCUGGAAUCCUUGAUUUGCUUAUGAAGGGUGAUCUUGCUGGGAAGCCCUUGGAGGGGGAGCCCCUCCUGGGUCACCCCAGAUGUCAAAGCGCAGAAGCACAGGGUUAAUGCAGAGGUAAUUAGACACUAUUUUGAAUUCAAUGGAAAUUAAAACAACAUAUCAACAUUUGUGGGAUGCAGAUUGACUGGUGUUUAGGAUAGAUUUUACAGCAGUAAUUGCUGAAACGAUAAAAAAGGAAGAGAUCACAAAUCACUCUAAGCCAAGAGCCAGCAAGCUACAGCCCACCGGCCAUGUCUGGCCCCUUCUUGCUGUUGAAAAUAAAGUUAUGCUGGAG